AUUGAACGCUGGCGGCAUGCCUUACACAUGCAAGUCGAACGGUAACAGGUCUUCGGAUGCUGACGAGUGGCGAACGGGUGAGUAAUACAUCGGAACGUGCCUAGUAGUGGGGGAUAACUACUCGAAAGAGUGGCUAAUACCGCAUGAGAUCUACGGAUGAAAGCAGGGGAUCGCAAGACCUUGUGCUACUAGAGCGGCCGAUGGCAGAUUAGGUAGUUGGUGGGAUAAAAGCUUACCAAGCCGACGAUCUGUAGCUGGUCUGAGAGGACGAUCAGCCACACUGGGACUGAGACACGGCCCAGACUCCUACGGGAGGCAGCAGUGGGGAAUUUUGGACAAUGGGCGCAAGCCUGAUCCAGCAAUGCCGCGUGCAGGAUGGAGGCCUUCGGGUUGUAAACUGCUUUUGUACGGAACGAAAAGCCCCGGGUUAAUACCCUGGGGUCAUGACGGUACCGUAAGAAUAAGCACCGGCUAACUACGUGCCAGCCGCCGCAGUAACAC
rnacentral:rRNA from 1 species